rnacentral:ncRNA from 1 species
UCCGAAGAUGUCGGCGGGAGCCUCGGGAAGAGUUAUCUUUUCUGUUUAACAGCCUGCCCACCCUGGAAUCGGCUCAGCCUGAGGUAGGGUCCAGCGGCUCGAAGAGCACCGCACAUCGCAUGGUGUCCGGUGCUCCCCUGGCGGCCCUUGAAAAUCCGGA